rnacentral:misc_RNA from 1 species
GUCAACUCUGCCUUCAUGGCCCUCUAUGGCUUUGCUGCAGUGCUCGUCUGUUGGGUGUUGUGGGCACAUCAUAUGGCAUUUGGCGACCGAUUGUUCUGGCUCAUUGGUAGGCCCGGCAUAGCGCUGUCCGAAAGUUACCUUCUUUCACAGUCUACACAAGGCUGUUUUCCGAUGGCUGACUACGUCUUUUUCCAGUUUGCUUUUGC